UACAAAUUUUCCGAUUUUCAGUAGAUACGUUUCGAUUUGAGUGGCAAGUCGUAAAAGCGGCCCUGUUGUUGCGGUAAGUGCCACAGCGGUUAUUCUUUGGGUCUGCCGUUCCUAGCGUAGACCCCCGCUGUUAGAUACAAUCAAUGUUUUCAGUAUUCUUUAUGAGGAGUGCGGGCAGUGACUACAGAUCCAAGAAGACUAAACAUGCCUUUGUUAUCGCUGGGGCGUCAUUAUUGGAGUAUCCGGUACCCCAAGGUGAGGUUGGGUUUCCACAGUUGGUAUAACAGUUGUGUCUGUUUUAUCAGUUCUUCUCUUACCACACCUCGCUAGAGCAUGCCAGGCCCUCCAAGCUCCACUCUUGUAAAUUUGAUGCAAAUUUUAACUCACCCCCGGACUUCCAGGCGGCGCUGAUGUCGCUUUUCUACAUGCAUAGCUUGUAUCACUGAUUUUAACACACAACUAAAGAUAUCGUGACGUCAUGUUCCCACGAAAUUUGUCGCCGCGUUUUUCAAUUGUUUCAAAAUUUAAAGAGACAAAAUAAAUAUGGCGCACAUGGUUGCACAUGGUGGCAGCGUAGGUGACUGAAUUUCCAGGUUCGUGAAUUUAUUAUAAUUAUUAUUAUAAUUAUUACUAUUAUUAUUACUAUUGCUAUUAUUAUUAUUAUUGAAAAAGAUAUUUUUUAAAGUUUUUUCUAGGUUUUUAGGUUUUUCAAUAACUUCUGCUGAUGAGAUGCAGCAACAGGAGGAGAAGAUAGAAAUUAAAAAGAGGAAGAAAAUAUGCAUCAUCAGAGGUUGUAUUAACGAAAAGAGCAGGAUGUUCUCCUUCCCCUAAGAGAGAAAGGAUAAGAAGAGGAUGGCACAGUGGGUGGAAGUAUGUGACAACCCAAAGUCAAUGCUUCCACCUGAAAACUGAAAUUCCGGGUGAUCUGUAGUAGCUACUUUAAAGAAAAAUACUUCAUGAGGAAAAGAUUAACAACAUCAGCAGUUCCAACACUGAACUUACUUGUGUCAGAGACUACCUCUAUUAAAAUAGAGCAAUAAGAC